rnacentral:rRNA from 1 species
UACGGAGGGUGCAAGCGUUAAUCGGAAUUACUGGGCGUAAAGCAUGCGCAGGCGGUUUGUUAAGUCUGUUGUGAAAUCCCCGAGCUCAACUUGGGAAUUGCAAUGGAUACUGGCAGGCUGGAGUAUGGUAGAGGAAGGUGGAAUUCCCGGUGUAGCAGUGAAAUGCGUAGAGAUCGGGAGGAACACCAGUGGCGAAGGCGGCCUUCUGGACCAAUACUGACGCUCAUGCACGAAAGCGUGGGGAGCAAACAGG